rnacentral:lncRNA from 1 species
AAGUUUUUACCUGAACAUGAAAUUUUGUCUGAUUCUUUACUCUGGCUUUAUGUUCUGUUCUCUACAGAUCUAGAUGAAUGCUUGGAGAAUGGAGGUCGUGGACCGUGUGAGAGUUCAUGUGUAAACAGCCCAGGCUCUUUUCACUGCAUCUGUCCACACGGGUAUCAGGUAGCUGGGGAUGGCAGGGCCUGCGUUUCCGAGUGUCCAGCAGGAUAUCGCAAACGGCGCUCUGCUUCAGGAGCAGAGAGCUCCAGCACAGAGCCCUGCACCGGUACGUACUGAGUACUGAGAGAGAAUAUUAACGAGUGUGAGGAGAUGGCGCAGCAGCAGAUCCAGCAGCAGAGGUGUGAGUGGAAGUGUGUUAACCUGCCAGGGACAUACCGCUGCGUUUGCCCCCGGGGAUAUACGCAGCAUGCUGAUGGACACCACUGCAAGGAUCUAAACGAGUGUGCGUUGAAGAACGGCGGCUGCUCGCACACCUGCCUGAACCUCAGAGGUAGCUUCAAAUGUGCUUGUCCAGAGAAUUACCGUAUCUCUCCAUACAACAGAAGAAAAUGCCAGCCAGUCCACAGUUCACAAAGGACGGUCUCGUAAUGCACGAUAACAUUUUUCUGCUCUUAAUUUAUUUACUCAUCAAUAUUGUAAUAAACAGCCUGUAAUCAUUGUUUU